AGAGUUUGAUUAUGGCUCAGAAUGAACGUUGGCGGCGUGGAUUAGGCAUGCAAGUCGAGCGAGGAAAGUUGUAGCAAUACGGCUUAUUCGAGCGGCGUAAGGGGCAGUAAUACCUGGGAACGUACCCUUUGGUCGGGGAUAGCUGCUGGAAACGGCGAGUAAUACCCGAUGAACUCGAGAGAGCAAAGGCUUGCCGCCGGAGGAGCGGCCCAGGCGAUAUUAGCUAGUUGGUGGGGUAAUGGCCUACCAAGGCUUAGAUGUCUAGCGGGUGUGAGAGCACGACCCGCGCCACUGGCACUGAGACACUGGCCAGACACCUACGGGUGGCUGCAGUCGAGAAUCUUCGGCAAUGAGCGCAAGCUUGACCGAGCGACGCCGCGUGCGGGAUGAAGGCCUUCGGGUUGUAAACCGCUUUGGUCCGAAAGAAAGGGUAAAACUUGAUCGAUCGGAGAAACAAGGACGGGCUAAGUUCGUGCCAGCCGCAGC
rnacentral:rRNA from 1 species